GACCCAAUAGCACACGAUGGUUAGUGCGCCUGCCCAUGGUGGGUAUAGAGACUGUUUACCGGGAUGCAGGAGGACUGUGUUCGAUUCACGGUUGGGUCA